AUUCCAGCAAAGGUUUAAGGUACUUUCCUUUAAUGCCCAGGCUUCAGAGGAUAUUCAUGUGUUCUGAAACAUCUGUAGCUAUAAGAUGACAUAUACUGAACGACUCAAAGAUGGAAAUUUAAGACAUCUUGCUGAUGGAGAAGCUUGGAAGGAUUUUGAUUCCUUGCAUACUGAUGACUUCGCUAGUGAUGAUCAUAACGUUAGAUUGGGUCUUUUAAGCGAUAGUUUUAAUCCAUUUUGAACUAUGAGCAUUUCCCCUAGCACAUGGUCGGUUAUGUUGAUGAAUUAUAACUUAUCACCAUGGAUUUGCAUGAAGUCGGAGUAUAUAUUGUUAUCAAUGAUUAUUCUAGGUCCAUCGUUUCCGAGAAAUGAUAUAGAUGUAUACUUACAACCACUGAUUGCAGAGUUGAAGAAACUAUGGGAAGUGAGAGUGGAAACAUAUGAUAUUGUAACUAAUCAAACAUUUAUGUUGCGUGCAACUUUAUUGUGGACAAUUAUUGAUUUUCUAGGAUUGUCAAUGCUUUCCACAUGGAGUACCAAGGGAAAAUCCCCACUUGCAAUCAUAAUACUUGUUCCCAAUAUCUCAAACACAAUCGUAAGAUGUGUUAUUUGGGUCAUCGAGCAUUUUUACCUCAUGAUCAUCCAUAUAGAAGAGAUAAAAAAUUCUUUAAUGGUAAAGAGGAGCAUAGAGUUGCACCUACUCCCUUAUCAGGCAUAUAAGUUCUUGAAGAACUUCGUGAAUUCAAUAAUGUUUUUGGGAAGGGCCAAAAGAAAACAAAAGAAUGAUGGUCCAUGGAAAAAAAUCCAUAUUUUUUGAGUUGCCUUAUUGGGCAACCAACAAAUUGAGGCACAAUCUUAAUGUGAUGCACAUAGAGAAGAAUAUUUGUGAACAGUUUGCUUGGGACUUUAUUGGAUAUACUUGGAAAGUCCAAAGAUCAUAUAAAUUCUCGCUAUUAUUUGCAUAAGAUGGGGAUACACAAAGAGCUUCAACCAGUAAAAGAUUGUGAUACUGAAAAUAUUCAUUUGGCUAAUGCUUGUUUCUCUAUGAAACCAGAUGAGAAAGGGUUAUUUUGCACUAUUUAAAAGAUUCCAAACUACCAAAAGGAUUUGCCUUUAAUACAUCAAGUCGUGUGCAAUUAGAAGAUAUGAAAGUAUCAGGAUACAAAAGCCAUGAUGCUUACAUCAUUUUGCGUUACUUGAUCCAAGUUGCUGUUAGAAAAGUGCUGCCUAAGAAUGUGUCUUUGGUCUUAAUUAGGUUGAGGGAUUUUUUUAGAGCCAUAUGUAGUAAGGUUAUAAGAAGAACUGUUGUUAAUAAGCUAAAGGCUGAAAUCAUUGAUAUAGAAUGUGAGCUUGAAAAGUUUUUUCCUCCAUCUUUUUUUGAUUUAAUGACACAUUUGCCUAUCCAUUUAGUGGAUGAGAUUAAGCUUGGAGGCCCGAUUCAUUUGCGUUGGAUGUAUUUUAACUGAAAGAACUAUGUGUGACUUCAAGGGGCUUGUUUGUAAUCGAAUCCCAGAAGGGGCAUUAGUGGAGGGUUUUUCAGCUAUAGACUGUUUGACCUGUAUUUCGAGAUACCUACCUGAAAAGGUGAAGACAACAUUUAGUAGGUAUCAAACCAAGGAUGAUGAGGACAAUCAAAUAGAGAAAGGUGAUGCUUUAUCUUUAUUUCCUAUGAUAGGUCAUCCAAUCGGAAGUAUGAAUAAAAGGAAAGGAAAUACUUUUAACAUGGAGAAUCAUGAGAGAUUUGGAUAGUCAUGAGUCAAAAAGAGUCUUUAAAAAGGAAAAAAAAAGCAAAGACAUAUGCUAAAACUGGAUCAUUAUCAUUCUUGGCAAAUAAAAAACGACGGUUAUUGACAACAAAUGAAAUUGUUCAAGCUAUAGAGUCAGAGAAAGGACAACUGCUUAAGUUAAUUGAACAACAAGCAGUAACACCACAAUCUGAAGCUACUGGACAGUCUGUGGAGGAGCAGCCUCUUGAAUAACCUCUUGAUCAACAACCUACAAAGGAUCAAGUGCAAAUGAACUUUGUCACUCAGCCACGCGGUGAACAACCUGAAGAACAAGAAAAUGUCUGAAACAAAAAGUAAUAACUGGAAAAAGCUGUUGAAUCCACACACAGCAGGCAAAAAGAAUUUUUCUUUAAUCUGUAGUAAAUUGGUGUUCUCUGAUUUAUUAUCUAGUCUUAACUAGUCAUUUAAGAAAUUCCUGAUAACUAUUUUUAUGUGAUUAGGAAAAAGAAAAGAAAUAUGUAUCUUUUAAGGAACUCCUUGUGGUCACAAGAACAAGAAAACCUGAUCGUUUGUACAAGGCAUCGAAUGAGAACACAACCAGCAAAAUUGCUACGUGAAGGAAAUUGAAAAGCAAAUGAGCAUAAAUGGUCAGUCUGUUGAUGCAUUUUCAGUUGUCAUGGAUCCUGAACAUCCGGAACAUCUCACUAUAUGGAGUGGGGGUUACAAAGACAACUUUGAAAAAGAAAUUUGACAAUUCCGAAUCAACUUAAAUGCAACAAAUGAUGUAGUACAACAAAUGCAAGAAAAGAUGAAAAAAAUGGAGAAACAAAUGGAGAACUAUGCGACAAGAAGUUAUUAGAGAUGUCUUCGCACAACUUCAGCAAGUAGGAUUAAUUGAUCCUAACAUACUAGCAACAUUGUCCGUUCCUUAUCCAAGAGGAGCUACUUUUGCUCAAACAGCUGAGCAAGGUGAUGAUAUCAAUGAAAGCAGUACUGAGGACUUGGUAUAGGAGCUGAAUUGAGUUAAUGUUAACUUUACCUAUGUUCUGAAAGUCUGUUACUUUUGAAGUUUGAAAACUACUUUGUGGUGAAUAUGUACAUCUCACCCAGUUUGAAUGGUUGAAGAAUGUUUAUAUAUUUAUUUUUAUCGAUAUUAUGUACCCAACCAUGGAUCUAAGUUGUAAUUUUGGUAAUUAAAUAUAACUUCUUCGCAAGUAUUUUAUGUUAUAAAA